GAUUUGGGGUGUCCUUUUGGAACUGAUCCCUCUGUGAGGGGCCACUGGCUUUCCUGUAGGCACAGAUCAGCGGUGUCAGUCUUCCUGGGUCCCCCUGAAAAUUCCAAAGAGGAAGCCAUGGUGGGACCGCGUGGGACGCAGGGUCUAGACUCCCAGUCUGGUCUGAUUUUCUUGUUUGCAUCCUUGCCGCUUUUCCUUCUGGAGAGUUCAGUGGGCAGGGACUGAUGGGGCCACAGCGCCCUCUGCUGGCGUGUUCUCACAGUCGACUUUUGCCUGCCCGAGCUUAUACAUACAGCGCCCUCGGAAUUGGAGGGCUUGGGGCAGACUGAGAAUGGGGAUUUCUGGUUUUAUUCCAGGCCCACUCCUUAGUGAAUGUCAAGACCAAAGGUGGCUCCUGAUCAGCUUUUUCUGCAUCUUCAGCUAACGGUGGCAGAUGGCAACCCAGCUCCCAGUUACAUAUCUUCAAUUCUGGGGCCAACUGAGCUCUCACCAAAUUCCAGUUCCAAAUCCCCAGGGAAAGGAAUCCAACUGGCCCCUGCCAAGUGCAGGGUUCUGACCACCAUGCUGAGGAUGAAGAUGAAGACAGCAUAAGCUCUGCCUCUAGAAACUGACAAUCUGCAUGGAGAGGAAAGACAUAUGCAGCUCUUCGGAAAAGGCCCUAAGAAGCCAUCAAAGAUAUGUCAUGGAGGAAGCCAUCGAAGAGGAAAGAGGAAGCUUUGUAACAGUUUACCUGGGAGGAAUAACAAGCUGCCAUAUGAAUACUGAUGAGAAAGGAGGUGGGAGAGACAUUUGAUCAUCAAUCAAGUUAUGAUUAUGAACACUCAGUUAAGAAAGAAAUGUGAAGUCAGUGUUCCUGAACAUGAAGAACAAGACCAGGGGUUGGGUUUUGGAGUCACACGGACUUUUUUUGUUCCAGCUCAUUUGUCUUUUUACCCAUUAAUAAAUUAAUCUAAACUCUA